GUACUUGCUUUGGCAGCACUAAUACUAAAAUUGGAAUGAAAUGGAAGAUUAGCCUGGCCCUUGAGUUAAGGAAGACAGUCAAAGUCAGGAAAAGUUCCAGAUUUUU
rnacentral:snRNA from 1 species